AGCGAACGCUGGCGGCAGGCCUAACACAUGCAAGUCGAACGAAGUCUUCGGACUUAGUGGCGGACGGGUGAGUAACACGUGGGAACGUACCUUUUGGUUCGGAACAACUCAGGGAAACUUGAGCUAGUACCGGAUGAGCCCUUCGGGGGAAAGAUUUAUCGCCAUUAGAGCGGCCCGCGUUAGAUUAGCUAGUUGGUGAGGUAAAGGCUCACCAAGGCUACGAUCUAUAGCUGGUCUGAGAGGAUGAUCAGCCACACUGGGACUGAGACACGGCCCAGACUCCUACGGGAGGCAGCAGUGGGGAAUCUUGCGCAAUGGGCGAAAGCCUGACGCAGCCAUGCCGCGUGAAUGAUGAAGGUCUUAGGAUUGUAAAAUUCUUUUACCAGGGACGAUAAUGACGGUACCUGGAGAAAAAGCCCCGGCUAACUUCGUGCCAGCCGCCGCCGUAG
rnacentral:rRNA from 1 species